GAAUUCUUGUAAAAUUCUAGUUUGCAAAUAGGGAAUAAUGAACCUCCAGAAGAGUUGAUGAAUGUGCGGAGCAAAGAAAGAGUAGCACGUAUAAUUACUUAUCAUAGGAUUAGCAUGUGUAAUUACUUAUCAUGGGUCUCUUUGUUUCACAAAGACUUCAAUAUAUGUAGAACACUAUGUAGUGGAAUGAAAUUAGAAUAUCCACAUGGAUUCGCUAAUAUACUUUACGUAUAAUAAAUUAGUUCCUAUUAAAAAGUGUCUCAAAAUUUCAGCAUAACAACUAUGGAAUUCUCAAUGAUUUAUGUCUAAGAUUGCUCAAUCAGUUCUACCUAUAAUUAUUUGGAAAUUGUCAAUUAGUAAAUGGUAUGAUUAAUUGAGAUUAUCUAUGAGUUUGCCAUUAUAGUUUUGGAAGUUACUGGAUUCAUAGCUAGACAUAUAGUCCUCAAAUUUUCAUUAAGAAAAUCUCAACAUUAAUGUUGUAUUGAACUCUAAAAGUAAUUGAUGAAGCCUCGAACUUCCCAUAUGUGUCCCAUUUUCGUCUCAGCUAAGGGGGACCUGCAAAACAAAGGACAAAUGGGUCAGAGGUCCAUUGGGAAUGUCCUUGGUGAGGAUCCUCUGAUGCUCAAGUUAGAGUUUUUAUAUAUUCAGUAAGAGAAUGAAGAUGAUAGAGGGUAGAGAGAGGGAGGAGGAAGAGAGUGUAGAGAGGGAGAAGAGAGAACCUGGUUACUUUCUUUGUUGGCCCUAUAUAUAAGGAAAGUAGAGAGGGUGGCAUAUUCUUGGGCACAUUCCCUAGGUGGGAACAUAUUCCUGAACUAGGAGUAUAUUCUUUUAGCUUUUUAUUUUUAUAUUAUCAAGAAGGGAGUGGGGUCCUUUGAUUGUAUCAGUAAUGAUAACGUAGCCUCUGAUUGGUUUAUAUGCAAAGUACUUUCGUUUCUUUCCUCUUC
rnacentral:misc_RNA from 1 species